CAGGAGCAUAGCAUUUGGAAAACCUAAGCCGCUUUCCUCUCAAGCACAGCUCUCCAGGAAUCUGGGCCUUCUCCGUAACCUGAUGUCAUGCUUACUUCUCCACAACCUCUUUCUUGAAAAGAUGCUGAUAAACAAAUUCACACCAAGACAGAAGGGACUGACAUUGGCUUCCCACAUUACCUCUUGCCCACAAUUAUUAGGUGACAAUAUCUGUUUAAGAGAAUAUGACUCUGGCCCUCUCCCUCUCCCUCUCCCUCUCCAAUAUCUGUUUAAGAGAAUAUGACUUUGGCCCUCUCCCUUUCCCCCUCCCCCUCCCCCUCCCUCUCCCUCUGCCCUCUUUCCACCGUCUCCCUCUGAUGCCGAGCCGAAGCUGGACUGUACUGCUGCCAUCUCGGCUCACUGCAACCUCCCUGCCUGAUUCUCCUGCCUCAGCCUGCCGAGUGCCUGCGAUUGCAGGCGCGCGCCGCCACGCCUGACUGGUUUUCGUAUUUUUUGGGUGGAGACGGGGUUUCGCUGUGUUGGCCGGGCUGGUCUCCAGCUCCUAACCGCGAGUGAUCCGCCAGCCUCGGCCUCCCGAGGUGCCGGGAUUGCAGACGGAGUCUCCUUCACUCAGUGCUCAAUGGUGCCCAGGCUGGAGUGCAGUGGCAUGAUCUCGGCUCGCUACAACAUCCACCUCCCAGCAGCCUGCCUUGGCCUCCCAAAGUGCCGAGAUUGCAGCCUCUGCCCGGCCGCCACCCCGUCUGGGAAGUGAGGAGCGUCUCUGCCUGGCCGCCCAUCGUCUGGGAUGUGAGGAGCCCCUCUGCCUGGCUGCCCAGUCUGGAAAGUGAGGAGCGUCUCUGCCCAGCCGCCAUCCCAUCUAGGAAGUGAGGAGCGCCUCUUCCAGGCUGCCAUCCCAUCUAGGAAGUGAGGAGCGUCUCUGCCCGGCCACCCAUCGUCUGAGAUGUGGGGAGCGCCUCUGCCCUGUCGCCCCGUCCGGGAUGUGAGGAGCGUCUCUGCCCGGCCGCCCCGUCUGAGAAGUGAGGAGACCCUCUGCCUGGCAACCGCCCUGUCUGAGAAGUGAGGAGCCCCUCCGCCCGGCAGCCGCCCCGUCUGAGAAGUGAGGAGCCCCUCUGCCCGGCAGCCACCCCGUCUGGGAAGUGAGGAGCGUCUCCGCCCGGCAGCCACCCCGUCUGGGAGGGAGGUGGGGGGUCAGCCCCCCGCCUGGCCAGCCGCCCCGUCCGGGAGGUGAGGGGCGCCUCUGCCCGGCCGCCCCUACUGGGAAGUGAGGAGCCCCUCUGCCCGGCCAGCCGCCCCGUCCAGGAGGGAGUUGGGGGGGGUCAGCCCCCCGCCUGGCCAGCCGCCCCAUCCGGGAGGGAGGGGGGGUCAGCCCCCCGCCUGGCCAGCCGCCCCAUCCGGGAGGUGAGGGGCACCUCUGCCCGGCCGCCCCUACUGGGAAGUGAGGAGCCCCUCUGCCCGGCCAGCCGCCCCGUCCGGGAGGGAGGUGGGGGGGUCAGCCCCCCGCCCGGCCAGCCGCCCCGUCCGGGAGGGAGUUGGGGGUGGUCAGCCCCCCGCCCGGCCAGCCGCCCCGUCCGGGAGGGAGGUGGGGGGGUCAGCCCCCCACCCGGCCAGCCGCCCGGUCCGGGAGGUGAGGGGCGCCUCUGCCCGGCCACCCCUACUGGGAAGUGAGGAGCCCCUCUGCCCGGCCACCACCCCGUCUGGGAGGUGUACUCAACAGCUCAUUGAGAACGGGCCAUGAUGACGAUGGCGGUUUUGUGGAAUAGAAAGGGGGGAAAGGUGGGGAAAAGAUUGAGAAAUCGGAUGGUUGCCGUGUCUGUGUAGAAAGAGGUAGACAUGGGAGACUUUUCAUUUUGUUCUGUACUAAGAAAAAUUCUUCUGCCUUGGGAUCCUGUUGAUCUGUGACCUUACCCCCAACCCUGUGCUCUGUGAAACAUGUGCUGUGUCCACUCAGGGUUAAAUGGAUUAAGGGCGGUGCAAGAUGUGCUUUGUUAAACAGAAGCUUGAAGGCAGCAUACUCGUUAAGAGUCAUCACCACUCCCUAAUCUCA
rnacentral:lncRNA from 1 species